CCGGCGACGCAUCUUUCAAAUGUCUGCCCUAUCAAAUGACGAUGGUACGUGAUCUGCCUACCAUGUUAGCAACGGGUAGCGGGGAAUCAGGGUUCGAUUCCGGAGAGGGAGCAUGAGAAACGGCUACCACAUCCAAGGAAGGCAGCAGGCGCGCAACUUACCCACUCCUGGCACGGGGAGGUAGUGACGAAAAAUAACAAUACGGAACUCUUUUGAGGCUCCGUAAUUGGAAUGAGUACACUUUAAACCCUUUAACGAGGAUCUAUUGGAGGGCAAGUCUGGUGCCAGCAGCCGCGGUAAUUCCAGCUCCAAUAGCGUAUACUAAAGUUGUUGCGAUUAAAAAGCUCGUAGUUGGAUCUCAGGCAUGGGCGCGCGGUCCGCCUCACGGCGGUCACUGCGUGUUUUCUUUCCCAUCCUACGCUUCCCGGUUGUUCAGCCCAUGGUGCUCUUCGCUGAGCGUUUUGGGUGGCCGGAACGUUUACUUUGAAGAAAUUAGAGUGUUCAAAGCAGGCAUGUUGCCUGAAUAAUGGUGCAUGGAAUAAUGGAAUAGGACCUCGGUUCUAUUUUGCUGGUUUUCGGAACACGAGGUAAUGAUUAAGAGGGACAGACGGGGGCAUCCGUAUUGCGGUGUUAGAGGUGAAAUUCUUGGAUCAUCGCAAGACGAACAACUGCGAAAGCAUUUGCCAAGCAUGUUUUCAUUAGUCAAGAACGAAAGUCAGAGGUUCGAAGACGAUCAGAUACCGUCGUAGUUCUGACCAUAAACGAUGCCAACUAGCGAUUCGCUGGUGUUGCUUCAUCGGCCUGUGAAGACAAAAACAGCUCGUGCCAAGGCUGGGCUGCUGCUGGGCAUUGCUCCAAGAACCCUGGCUACAUGCUGAAGAAAUGCCGCAAGGCUUGCGGAGAGUGCACAGAUUUUGUGUUGGAGAAAUGUGAAAACGAGAAUCCGUCUUGCGAUGAAUGGGCCAGAUUCAAUCAGUGCUCCGAGAACCCUGGCUACAUGACUGUGUACUGCCGCAAGGCCUGUCGGCUUUGCUAGCUAACACACCUAGACAGAGCGAGCAGCGUAUGCCGUACCGCGGACUGAUGUGUAUGGCAAUGGCCCAGAGAGAAAAUGGGAUGGCGAGGACAUGCUAUAGCGUGGAAAACAGACUUGGAUGAUAA
rnacentral:rRNA from 1 species